rnacentral:SRP_RNA from 1 species
AGCUGGGUCCUGCGCAGCGGAUGACCGCAAACCCCGCCAGGUCCGGAAGGAAGCAACGGUAGCGGCCCUCUCCGGGUGCCGCAGGGGUGCCUAGCUAUC